GACGAACGCUGGCGGCGUGCUUAACACAUGCAAGUCGAACGGAAAGGCCCUGCUUUUGUGGGGUGCUCGAGUGGCGAACGGGUGAGUAACACGUGAGUAACCUGCCCUUGACUUUGGGAUAACUUCAGGAAACUGGGGCUAAUACCGGAUAGUAGCUCCUGCUGCAUGGUGGGGGUUGGAAAGUUUCGGCGGUUGGGGAUGGACUCGCGGCUUAUCAGCUUGUUGGUGGGGUAGUGGCUUACCAAGGCUUUGACGGGUAGCCGGCCUGAGAGGGUGACCGGCCACAUUGGGACUGAGAUACGGCCCAGACUCCUACGGGAGGCAGCAGUGGGGAAUAUUGAAAAAUGGGCGGAAGCCUGAUGCAGCAACGCCGCGUGCGGGAUGACGGCCUUAGGGUUGUAAACCGCUUUCGCCUGGGACGAAGCGUGAGUGACGGUAAUGGGUAAAGAAGCACCGGCUAACUACGUG
rnacentral:rRNA from 1 species